rnacentral:rRNA from 1 species
GAUGAACGCUGGCGGCGUGCCUAAUACAUGCAAGUCGAGCGAACGGACGAGAAGCUUGCUUCUCUGAUGUUAGCGGCGGACGGGUGAGUAACACGUGGAUAACCUACCUAUAAGACGGGGAUAACUUCGGGAAACCGGAGCUAAUACCGGAGAAUAUUUUGAACCGCAUGGUUCAAAAGUGAAAGACGGUCUUGCUGUCACUUAUAGAUGGAUCCGCGCUGCAUUAGCUAGUUGGUAAGGUAACGGCUUACCAAGGCAACGAUGCAUAGCCGACCUGGGAGACUGGUAGGCGGCACGGGAGCUUGGACGGCCUCCAUGCGCCUGCGGGACGCCCCAGUCGGCUACCGUCCGCAGCGGUCGAGAGCCUUACGGAACGGCGCCACGUGAGUUGUGGAGAUGUUCGGAUCGUGAAACUCUGCUACUGGGUGAAAACAUCUGUGUCAGUAGCUGUACACAUAUUGACGGUACCUGAUCAGAAAGCCCCGGCUAACUACGUG